rnacentral:rRNA from 1 species
UACGAAGGGGGCUAGCGUUGCUCGGAAUCACUGGGCGUAAAGCGCACGUAGGCGGAUUGUUAAGUCAGGGGUGAAAUCCUGGAGCUCAACUCCAGAACUGCCUUUGAUACUGGCGAUCUCGAGUCCGGGAGAGGUGAGUGGAACUGCGAGUGUAGAGGUGAAAUUCGUAGAUAUUCGCAAGGACACCAGUGGCGAAGGCGGCUCACUGGCCCGAUACUGACGCUGAGGCACGAAAGCGUGGGGAGCGAACAGG